ACGCAGGGGGCUUGCUCCUUGCGUUAGUGGCGGACGGGUGAGUAACGCGUGAGCAACCUGCCCAUAUCAGGGGAAUAACACAGAGAAAUUUGUGCUAAUACCGCAUAAGACCACGGUAAGGCAUCUUACAGGGGUAAAAGAUUUAUCGGAUAUGGAUGGGCUCGCGUACCAUUAGAUAGUUGGCAGUGUAACGGACUACCAAGUCGACGAUGGUUAGCCGAUCUGAGAGGAUGACCGGCCACAUUGGGACUGAGACACGGCCCAAACUCC
rnacentral:rRNA from 1 species